rnacentral:rRNA from 1 species
GAGUAGUAAGAGUUAAGAUCUUUAAACUCAAAGAAUUUGGCGGUAUUUUAUCUUAUUAGAGGAACCUGUUUAUUAAUUGAUAUUCCACAACUUUAAUUUACCUUUAUGAAAUUAUUUGUAUACCGCUGUCAUGAAUCUAUUUAAAAGUUAUUUUCAGAAUUUUUUAUAAAAGUUAUGUUAGGUCAAGGUGCAGUUUUUAAGGAAAAAAAAUGGGUUACUUUGUUUAAUAUGAAUGGAUUAUUCUUUAUAGUUAAGUUAGAAAAUGGAUUUAUAAGUAAGAAGAUAAAUAAAGAUCUUAUAUGAAUAAAGAUUCUGAAAUAUG